ensembl:lncRNA
GCGCCUGUACAUUUCCUACACAGACAAUCCUUGAGGUUGACAUGACGCCGACCAGAGGACAUUGAGCGAGCGUCAAAAUGGGUACCUCAUCCUCUACCUCUCUUUGGCUUCACGCCCGCAUGCUCAGGCAUCUGGCUAAUUCUGUACAAAUUCGUCCCAAACUCUCACAUGUUAAGUUGUGUACGGUGGUUUUGAAAUAAGUACAUCCUGCAUGUCCCAUGCCUGGAAGUGAUUUAGACCGUAACCAUAGAGAGGCACUGUGGUGCAGAAAGAAGGCUCUGUCUCAGAACGCCAUGUCGGUGAUAGCAGAGGUAUGUCCUGCCUUAAAGCAGUACAUCAAUAAUUCAAAGCACCUGAAGUCACUUCUCCUAAAUAAGUCAUACUGACUUUUGUAAUACUACAGCAUUGACUAUGCCCCAAACAAGAGUGCAUCCAUACAUGGAAACAAUGCUUUAAUAGCAGUACUGAAGGGAAACUGGCAGGUCUAUACAGUGUCGCGUUGAGCAAGACAUUUGUGUCCAAUGACUCAAGUCAGUAAUCAAGGUUAAAGUUAUGCAGUCAAGUGGUGGCAAUGGUUUGCUUUUUUAAAACAAAGUGUAUGUGGUUUUCAUGACCAUAAACAAAUAUAGUGAUGAAAAGCUGUUAAGUUUGUUUCCCAUAGAAGGGACGUCAAAAGUUGUUACAUUUAAAGAGUGAACAUAGUAAUCAAUGUGAAGAUGUGUGUUUAUGUCACACUUGUGCUGCCUUUGUGUGUGUGUGUGUGUGUGCGCGCACAAAUGAAAACAUAGAUCGCAAUGGGUCAAAAGGUGAGAUUUCAAUCUGAUUGUCAUAGUUAACGUAUUUCACGCCGAGAAAGUGCCAGAUCAGGGAGGGAAAAAUGAUGUCAUCUUUAAGUAAAUCCAAAUUCAAAUGUUUUGCUUUACAUGUUGUGACCAAGGUACUUGAUCCUGUUUGAGGGACAGUCCAUACGAAAUCUCACUCACAAAACAUGUAGAAAAGAAAAUCAAAUCCAGCUCCCCGCCUUCAUCUUGUAGUUAAACUUCCCCCCAGCACACACACAUAUG